CAAAGGUAUUCAUUCCACCAGUACGUCAUGCACCUACAGGUGCGGCGAUGCCACCGACCGUCGGUCCUCAUCCGCCGCUGUGAAAGUGGAGUGAGGCAUCAGAUCUCUCAGUCAAUCAAUGGUACCUGCCGUUUGCUUCUCUGAGGCGACCGUUGGUUAAUCUUGAGGAUUACCACUGACUUUCUAGCUGAUGUGAUUCAAAAGAAAGCUUAUAUUUUGGAUCUUUGGAAGAUAUAGCUAUAUGGGUGAUAUUACCAACUUGAACCAGUAGUUUACAUAAGUGAGAAUAAUAUACCAGAAAACAGUUGCUUUCUUACUUCAUAAUAAGCAACACCAAUAAAUGGAUGAGGCAAACAAUACUUGUGGGGAAAUAGAAGAGAUUAUAGACUAUAUUGAGCAGAGGUUUAAGCAGAUCAAGCAGUUUGACAUACUUGACUAUUAUCCGUAUGAUCACCACUUCUUCAAAUAUGACAAAAAUUAUAAGAACAUGACAUCGGAAAGUGCCUUUUGCCAAAGGAUUGAAAAAGAGUGUCUUUUGUUGGAGAAGACCCCCUGGCCCUGAUCAAUGGAGUUGCAACUAGAUGAGAAA